CUCAAUGCGUGGUAUCCCAGAUCUCAGUGCCCUUACUCUGUGUGGAGAGGCCAUGCCGAGCCCCCCUUCUCCAACCUCUCCCAAUUUCAGAACCAUCUGUGGUAGUGGUAAGGUCAAGUGCCCUCGAGUUAGCGAUUCAGUGUGGUGCAUCGCUACAGAUGCCGGCGGUGAGGUCCUGGAUGGUGCCGUGCUGGAGAGACCUGCGGCAGCGAACACGCUUGUACCACCCACAUGAUUCGGCGGAGUGCCGGCGUGGCUCGGACGCGUCUCUCACCCCCCCCCCCCCCCGCCGUCUGCACACUGCCUACUGGUGGUGGGGAGCGUGAGUGUCACCCGACGAGGAGGGGGAGGGGGAAUGUACCAGAGGUGGCGGCCGGCGUGAUUGGAGGAGCGGCUGUGAGCCGGCCUGCGAGGCGGCCGUGAUGGGUAGAGUAUGUGGGCCGGGCCCGUGCACUGGUGACCGAGUCGUUGCGUUGCUGCAACGCGCGUUUCCAGCGCUGCUUCACACCAGGCGAUGGGGCGUGUGACAGGGCCGCUGUGGAGUGAAGCUGAGCUCGUGCUGUAUGGCAGAGAGUGGACACGCUGAAUAUGAAAAAAACAAAACAACGCUGCAUGGUCUUUCUGCGCGUGUGUGUAGCUGUGCCUGCCUCCUCUUUUCUCUCCCCCUUUUUCGUUUUUUUUUCGUGCUCCGUUUUGCCGUGUGGUGCCGGCGGUCGUUUCCCUAUUCUCAGUGCGGGUCGUGAUGGAGCCCUUCCUCUCUCGACGAGCAAGGACGGCACGAAGUUGUGCACGGCGGCGUACCUCACGAAAAAAAGAAGAGGAUACUAGCCCCCUCUUUCCUCUCCGCACAUCCUGCGUGUAUGCUGUAUGGCGAAUGAAGCGAGGGGGAGGGGGCUGAAAGGUUGUGUGCGUGCGAGCGUGCGCCGAUGGUAUGUCGAGAUGGUUGCAGAGUACCCCGCACGCCUUUUUCUCCCGCUGCACUCUCUGUGAUAGUAGGGGAGAUAGGUGGGAUGACGGGGCACAGUGUUGCAGCGUCUGUGCGUUCUUCGCCCCUCCUUUUUUUCUCGCCCUGUAAAAGUGCGCGCUCACUCCUUCUUUGUAUUUGGUAUGUUGCCUGUUACUCUUGCACAACUCCCCACGUCUUGUCUCUUACGCGCUUUUUGACUGCACCGCAAACACCCAAACGAUUCUGCGCAG
rnacentral:misc_RNA from 1 species